rnacentral:hammerhead_ribozyme from 1 species
AUCCUGCUGAUGUGUUCUAGAUAAGACGAAAUGCUCAUCCUGGAU